ensembl:lncRNA LINC01580 long intergenic non-protein coding RNA 1580
AGACUCCGACCGGAACUGACAGCGCGGCCUCCAGGAUUGAAGCCAUCCCUGGCUUGAAGUAGCCUAAGGAGAUUUGCUAGUUUGAGUCCUGGGAGAUGAGAUGGGGAAGAUGGGCCCAAGCUGCAACAUGAAGGUCCAUGAUGAACAGUUGGCAUCUCCUACAGUGCCUGCCACUUGGUAAUGUUCAAUGCAGCCAAGGGAGCUAAGGUAAUGAACAAAACAGAGAAGUUCCUACCCUCCCUGAUGUUCAUUCUAGCAAAUGGAGACAGAUGAUAGAAACCAGUGUCAACUGCAGAGUGCACUGCACAUCAUUGAGCAAGAGGGACACCAUGGAUAAUGGAAAGAUCUACGGCAAGGCUGGCUGUCUGCCCUGUCUAAGGAGGACGUACUGGACCAUCCUGCUCUGCACAUCCAGAUGUGUCCAUGAAUACAUCCAUAAAACGAUGGCCUGUGGAAUCCUAUAGGAAAAUGAUCCAGAGCCUGGGCGGUCAGAAGGAACAAACACUUGAUUUACAAAAUAAAUCUUCUAUGUUUAUGUUUUAAAGACACACAGAGGAAAAACAUUUUUAAAUUCAUGAUUUCCCCCCCCAGAUUUUAACUAUUGUAAUCUCUUUCUUUCCUGAGCCUUAGGCAUCUUCAUUAUAAACCAAAAGAUAUAACUUGAGAUUUUCCCAGGGUUUAUAUACUCGUUAGAGUUGGAAACAUGAAAAUGGCAAUUUGGGAUGUCUCUUUGGAGUCAAAAACCUUAUAAAAAUAUAAUGUACUUUCUCUC